rnacentral:lncRNA from 1 species
GAGAAGACCUAGGUUUUGAGAUAGCAUAUGAAGACGGAGCUAGAGCGAUCGACAUGAGGGUGGUUGGGCUUGAUGACUAUAUUGUAGGUCAGGGCAAGGAAUACUGUGUGCCUCAAAUCCUGUCUUUUUUUUUUUUUUUUGCAAUAUGACUCUUCAAAAUCCUUCAAACCACACAUGCACAAAACAUGGAGAAAAAAUCAUGUACAAAGGAUAGACAAUAGGAGUCCUUCAAAUCCCGGUAUUUUUCAUGCACAAAGAAAGCCAAAAAAAGUCAGCUUCUUUUUUCUUUUAUAGUGUUUCUCUAAUUUUCAGGCUAAAAAUUGGGAUACCAAGCAAAUGGCGGAGUGAGGAGGCUUGCGUGGUGUGCCACUGGCCUAUGGCCGGAACUCGAAGAAGAUAUAGGGUUCGGGUGCCUUGAAACUUCAAGUAAUUUUGAGGAUAACAGAAUGCUGCCUAACUCUACUGUAGAAACUACUAUAAAA